GAUGAACGCUGGCGGCGUGCUUAACACAUGCAAGUCGAACGGAAAGGCCCUGCUCUUGUGGGGUGCUCGAUUGGCGAAGGGGUGAGUAACACGUGAGUAACCUGCCCUUGUCUUUCUGCUAACUUCAGGAGACUGCGGCUAUUACCGGAUAGGAGCUCCUGCUGCAUGGUGGUGGUUGGAAAUUUUCGGCGGUUGGGGAUGGACUCGCGGCUUAUCAGCUGGUUGGUGGGGUUGUUGCUUACCAAGGGUUUGACGGGUAGCCGGCAUGAGAGGGUGACCGGCGACAUUGGGACUGAGAUACGGCCCAGAAUCCAACGGGAGGCAGCAGUGGGGAAUAUUGCACAAUGGGCGGAAGCCUGAUGCAGCAACGCCGCGUGCGGGAUGACGGCCUUCGGGUUGAAAACCACUUUCGAAUGUGCCGAAGCCUGAGUGACGGUAAUGGGUAAAGAAGCACCGGCUAACUACGUG
rnacentral:rRNA from 1 species